rnacentral:lncRNA from 1 species
AGUGUCUGGGAAACCAGCGUCCGACUGUCAGCAGCGUCUGCAUUCUCAGUGCUAACCAGGAGAGACACAUUUGGGCAGUGGCACAGUGAUGUGUUGGAACAUGCCUACUACUUGAUAAAAAGAGGGAGGCUGCCUGGAAAACAGCGUGGAGACACUCAUGGUGGACCAGGGAGGCGUCAGGAAGUGAAAGUGGGAAGAGAGGAGGUGAUGGAAGUUCUCUUGGGAUGCUGGAGAUGAGGCCAAGACUUUGCACAAGCACUGCGAGCACUCUACCACAGACCCAUAGCCCCACCUUUUGGCAUUUCUGAAGAGACUCUUGUGGGACCAAGUCAGACA